UGGACACCCAAUUACCCUGAACCUAGACUUUUCUAUCAAGCUUGACAUGAUAGGACCCCAGGCCAAGUCUUAACGGGUAUAUCAAGCCCACUGAGGAUCGAAGACCACCCCCGUCGCCUGCUAAACCAAGAAAAAUCCAAAUAAUAAAAAAGUGGAAGACAACUAAAUAAUAAAGGAUAAACAGUUAAUAUUUCUCAAGAAUACACUCUAAGAGUCAACUACAACAUCCAACCCACAUAUGUCCAGAAAAGCCUCUAAACCAAACCAAACACCAAACUAGGUAGGAACAUGCCCCCG
rnacentral:lncRNA from 1 species